rnacentral:tRNA from 1 species
GUUGCGGUGGCAGAGCUUGGAUAUUGCAAAAGGUCUAAGCCCUUUCAACAGGGGUUCAAAUCCCCUCCCCAACU